rnacentral:rRNA from 1 species
CCUACGGGUGGCUGCAGUGAGGAAUAUUGGUCAAUGGGCGAGAGUCUGAACCAGCCAAGCCGCGUGAAGGAUGAAUGCCCUAUGGGUCGUAAACUUCUUUUAUAUGGGAAUAAAGUGUUCGACGUGUGGGGAUUUGUAUGUACCAUAUGAAUAAGGAUCGGCUAACUCCGUGCCAGCAGCCGCGGUAAUACGGAGGAUGCGAGUGUUAUCCGGUUUUAUUGGGUUUAAAGGGUGCGUAGGCGGAAUGCCAAGUCAGCGGUAAAACCGCGGGGUCCAACCCCGCGCCGCCGUUGAAACUGGCGUUCUUGAGUGGGCGAGAAGUAUGCGGAAUGCGUGGUGUAGCGGUGAAAUGCAUAGAUAUCACGCAGAACUCCGAUUGCGAAGGCAGCAUGCCGGAGCCCAACUGACGCUGAGGCACGAAAGCGUGGGGAUCGAACAGGAUUAGAUACCCGAGUAGUC